rnacentral:rRNA from 1 species
GCGUCAUGUCUAGUAUAAGCAAUUAUACAGCGAAACUGCGAAUGGCUCAUUAUAUAAGUUAUCGUUUAUUUGAUAGUACCUUACUACUUGGAUAACCGUGGUAAUUCUAGAGCUAAUACAUGCUAAAAAUCCCGACUUACGAAGGGAUGUAUUUAUUAGAUUAAAAACCAAUGCCCUUCGGGGCUCACUGGUGAUUCAUAAUAACUUCUCGAAUCGCAUGGCCUUGCGCCGGCGAUGGUUCAUUCAAAUUUCUUCCCUAUCAACUUUCGAUGCUAGAGUAGUGUUCUAGCAUGGUUACAACGGGUAACGGAGGGUUAGGGCUCGACCCCGGAGAAGGAGCCUGAGAAACGGCUACUACAUCCAAGGAAGGCAGCAGGCGCGCAAAUUACCCAAUCCCGACACGGGGAGGUAGUGACGAUAAAUACUGAUACAGGGCUCUUUUGGGUCUUGUAAUUGGAAUGAGUACAAUUUAAAUCCCUUAACGAGGAACAAUUGGAGGGCAAGUCUGGUGCCAGCAGCCGCGGUAAUUCCAGCUCCAAUAGCGUAUAUUAAAGUUGUUGUGGUUAAAAAGCUCGUAGUAGAACCUUGGGCCUGGCUGGCCGGUCCGCCUCACCGCGUGCACUGGUCCGGCCGGGCCUUUCCCCCUGUGGAACCUCAUGCCCUUCACUGGGUGUGUGGGAGAACAGGACUUUUACUUUGAAAAAAUUAGAGUGCUCCAGGCAGGCCUAUGCUCGAAUACAUUAGCAUGGAAUAAUAGAAUAGGACGUGUGGUUCUAUUUUGUUGGUUUCUAGGACCCGCCGUAAUGAUUAUAGGGACAGUCGGGGGCAUCAGUAUUCAAUUGUCAGAGGUGAAAUUCUUGGAUUUAUUGAAGACUUACCUACCUGCGAAAGCAUUUUGGCCAAAGGGCGU